GCCGCCUCCCCCAGGCCCCGCCGCCGCCUCAGGAAGGGAGGCCCUGCGGCUCCUGCUUCAGGAAGGGCGCUGGUGUAAAGCUGUAGCGGUUCUACAGGUUUUCCUGAGAGAAAUUAGAGAAGGAUGAUCUUGGUGGAGGGAGCCCAGCUUGGCACAGUCCUCGUCCCUACUGCCACCUGUGAGGAGAGAUGGAGAGAAACACCUCCAGGGUUCCUUCCCAUGGCUUGUCCCCAGGGGAGAGCCGGCACGACUGCGGAGGAAGCUCGGGGCUGGUCCUGGCUGCGGAGAACAGCCGAAAGGGUUAAAGCCGCAGCAUUCCAGCCCCUGCCGAACACCCGGCCUCUGGACUUCAACCAAAGCAGUGGUUGUUGGUUUCCCACAGCGCGCGCACACGGAUGAAGUCGCACAUCGCUGUCUGGCGCUGGGUUUUGCAAAGCCGAGGUGCUGGUGUUGCUGGAACACGCUAUUCGCUCGAGGAAUCCGGGAGCAAGAGCAACAAAAAAAGAAAACGGCUUUGAAAAACACACCAAGAAACCCCGUGGUGAAUCUGCUGGAUCUCCAGACAAACAGAUUCGCACUCUUCAGAGGACGCUGGGGCUCAACCAACCCAUUCCCACACUGUUUCUGUUGUCCUAAACCCGUGUCCUUCUGGUUAGACUAACCUCUCCUCUCCGGGGGGUUCUUUUGUUAUAAAAACGGUUCCCCGUAGGGCCAUCUGUCAUCCCGAGGCCGUCUGAAAUAAAGUGAGGAAUGAGUCAGCUCAUCCUGCGACGAACCAGAAGCCUUCGAGUAGUCCCAGACAUUUGGUGUUACCACACGGUUUUCUUUCUCUGGGAGUCCUUUAUCCGAGAUGGAUAUUUGAAAAGAGGGUGAAGCCCUCCCAGCAAACAUCGCUGGUCUGUCGCGCGGGGAAGUGAGGGAGCGCUGCUCGAUUAAAUUCUCUCAAUCUCAGUGAAAGUGCCCAGGAUUUAUCCGCGCAGUCCUCCAGGCAAAGUUUGGGAGCCGCAUUUGAUUCAUUCCUGUUAUAAGCUGGAUUUAUGAAGAUUGAAGCUGAGCUUUAGGGAACCUCUCUGGACAUCACCAUAACUUCAAAUUUUCCACCCAGUCCUUUGCCGUGUUUGAUGCGACGUAUCUGCUGCUGCAAAAUCCGGGCAAAGAGGGGAAGGGAAACUCCUGCUGGGCUCUGGCUGAUGGAGCCGGUCCUUGUCGGCCAGAUGGAUACAUUUCUGUUGAUCAAAUCGGAAGGAAGUUUUGGAGGAAAAGGAAACGGAGUCAACAAGAGCUUUCCGGGCAGCGGCAUCCACGUGGCCCGAGCUCCCUCCUCGGCUCCGUCCGCAUCCCCGUCCCUGCACUGUUUGGGUCCGGAAAGGCAGGUUGUUCUUGCAGGUGUGCUCAGGACCAUGAAAGAGGACAAGGUGUGUUUGGUGAUCAACUUCUGUUACUGUCAGAUGCUUCGGACAGCUUGAGCCUCCCCCGCGAAUAUCAUCAGGAGGGACCUAUCCGGACCUGGCCCCAGGGUUAUUGGAACGGGGGCGCUGGUCUCCUGCCGCCACUGCAAAAAACAAACUGGGAAGGGUUCAGAAAGACUUGGAGACGGGGCAAACCCACCUAACAGGCCAAAGCAAUGCUAUAUUGAGUUGGUUUAACUAAAAAAAAGAUUAAGGACUGACUCAAUCGCAGUUUCCAAUGAAUAUUCAGAUGUCAGAGGGUAUUUGUUUUAAGAAAUAAAAGAAUAACAAGUGCCAACAGCCAGGAGGAGAAAGGAGGCAAUUUCAGGCUAGCACGAAGAGCAGGAAAGGCUUGUUGGAUCCCCUUCAACAGUUCUCCAUCAGUGAAGUCCUGAAGUCAAACCAAGUGUCUAAGCUGCAGGCUUGGCCAUCUCCCGCAGCAACUCCUGCGUUAAAAUACGUGACUCUUGCCACAACAUGGAAUUGCAGCGCAAGAUAAACCAAGGGUUACGUCCCAUCCCUGCCCCGUGCCGUGUUACGCUGUAAAUGAUUUGACUCGGAGACAAACUCUUUGUUUUGGCUCGUGUAACACCAGAUGCGAAAAGAGCCCUAUUCAUUGAUGGGAUCCCAAGAUACCCUUGCAACAGACGUCGCGGGGAAAAGUUGUUGCUCUGCCAAGUUUAGAUGGGAGCCUGGUUCUGUUCUCCGUAUACGCGGGCUUAGGCAUGUCUUAGCUGAUCAAAGAAUUAUUAUAGAUAAGAGCAACAACUCUCGUAUGAGAUAGAAAGCAGCUUCUGCCCUGUGAAGGUAAGAAAUAGGUUCUUCUCUAACAUAAAUGCACAAGUUUAAAAAGUCACUUCUGAAAAUAAAAUAGAAACCGGUGUCUGUCUUAGGAAAAACAGGUCUAAGGAGAAUAUAAAGCAUCUUUCAUCCCCUCCUGCCCACAGGAUGCUCAUUCUGAUGUACUUGAAGGAGGUAGAAUGUACUUUGAAAAAGGUAAAAUAUAUUUCGAAGGUAGAAUCUCUCAUGAGUCUCCCCCCUGCCAUAUGCGUGCUCGGACUUCUGGCUAAAGGAGCCUGAGCUGGCAGCCAGGCCAGGGCUGCGUCAGCUGGGGCCCCGCACGUUCUCCCCCGUUCCUCGGGUCGGGCGGAAAGCAGCGUGUCUCUGCCCGCUUCACCAAAGGCUAUUGGCUAUUUAAAAAAAAUCCCAAGAUGACUUUUGCCAGUGAUGCCAUUUUUAGGACUGAUCCCUUUGCUCCUGGGCUUUGGGAACAGCGUCUCUGUCACCUGCUCUGUAUUUAUCCAGUUAAAAGUGCAGACCGAAACCCAAACUGCCGAGUCCCCCGUGCCCGUGCGAACGAGCGACAGCCAGCGGGGUGUAUUCUCUUGCCCGAUGCAAAUGCAGCGUCGCUCACCUGGAUUCGUUCGGUCCACGAGCUGCUCUGGGAGACGGACACUCGAAUCGUCCAUCCCCACACGCACGAGGACUUGUUCCAAGGUUGCCUCGAGUGUUUCUCAGAGAACUGUAGAGGAUUUGCCUUGCAGGGAAAGCGCAAGGGAGCUUUGGGCAGGAUGGUGCUGGAAAGAGCUCCUGAGCUGUGCUGUCUCCAGCUCUCAGCCACAGGUCUGCUGGAGCAGGCAGGGUUAAGUCAACCCUUGCAGGGGUCAAUUCGUGGCCUGGAUAUUGAGUUUCUGGACACUGCGGUGGCUCCGGGCUGGGGCAGAGAGCGGGUGAACGAUGGCAGAUGGCUGGCCAGGCCAUCCGUCCUUGUGCUGACACUUCACGUCUCGCGCAGGUUCUGCCCGGAGAGGCUGUGGAGUCUCCUUCUCUGGAGAUGUUCAAAAUCCGCCUGGAUGUAUUCCUGUCCAACCUCCUCUGGAUGACCCUGCUCUGGCAGGGGGUUGGACAGGAUGAUCUGGAACCAGCACUGGCCCAGGUUGCCCAGAGAAGCUGUGGCUGCCCCAGCCCUGGAGGGGUUCAAGGCCAGGUUGGCCGGGGCUUGGAGCAACCUGGGCUGGUGGGAGGUGUCCCUGCCCAGGGCAGGGGGUGGCACUGGGUGGGCUUUAAGGUCCCUUCCCACCCAAACCAUUCUGUGAUUCUAUGAGGACAAACCCAUGCAACACCCCCGGGGAACCGCGGGCAGAGGCGGAUGGGAGGUUGCGCCCCAGUUCAUGUUCUUGACCGCUAAAAAUAAAAUGUUCUAUUAAUGAGGCGGAACGAAGAUCCAUCUGGCAAAGCACCUUGUCACCAACGGGUGUCGGAGCAAGGGCUCUCUGGAAGUGCCUUCUGGAGUUGAGGGAUGGGUUUGCUACAGCCGCUCUACGUGGAACCUCUCCUCCAGCUGUGCCACAGGGAGAGCCCAAGGCAGCCAACAGGGUGGAUGGGAAGGUGCCCCAGGUCGGGCCCUUUCCCAGCAAACCCUCCUGGUUUCCAGCAAUUUGCAGCUUUGGGACAUUCUGAACUGGAUGUUGUCUCUGGACUGGAGCUUAUCGCCCUUCCGUGGGAGUUCCCACUUUUGGGGACGAGCGCCCAGGAGGGACCGCAAGGUCUCUGUGACCCCGGCGGAGCGUUCUCCAGCGUCACUGCACACACCAGCCGC